GACGAACGCUGGCGGCGUGCCUAAUACAUGCAAGUAGAACGCUGAAGGAGGAGCUUGCUUCUCUGGAUGAGUUGCGAACGGGUGAGUAACGCGUAGGUAACCUGCCUGGUAGCGGGGGAUAACUAUUGGAAACGAUAGCUAAUACCGCAUAAGAGUAGAUGUUGCAUGACAUUUGCUUAAAAGGUGCAAUUUCAUCACUACCAGAUGGACCUGCGUUGUAUUAGCUAGUUGGUGGGGUAACGGCUCACCAAGGCGACGAUACAUAGCCGACCUGAGAGGGGGAUAGGCCACACUGGGACUGAGACACGGCCCAGACUCCUACGGGAGGCAGCAGUAGGGAAUAUUCGGCAAUGGACGGAAGUCUGACCGAGCAACGCCGCGUGAGUGAAGAAGGUUUUCGGAUCGUAAAGCUCUGUUGUAAGAGAAGAACGAGUGUGAGAGUGGAAAGUUCACACUGUGACGGUAGCUUAACAGAAAGGGACGGCUAACUACGUG
rnacentral:rRNA from 1 species